GAGGGCUAUACAAUCCAUAUGAAUACUGAAUCCAAUGAAAAUAGAUCAAAGCAGUAUUUCAAUCUAAAAGCCAUCCUAAUGUCGAGAGAACACCAAAAGACUCACCAUGUUCAUGUGUGUUAGCAUUUCACAAUCAUUUUUAUAGGCUUUCUCAUGCUACUCACCAUGUCACUAAGCGCUAGGUAUAUGCAAAUUAGACUCACACUUAGUGGCACUAGAUAACCAUUACAAUUAAAGAUUUCCCCUCUUUAUAGUAUGGUUAUCUAUCCAAAAUCCACUCACACCCGCUCGGUGUCUUGAGUGGUAAAACAAAAUGACCCUAAUAAAAAUACCUUUGCCAUGAGCCCAUUUUGUUUUCCUGUUUCUUCAUUUCCAAGUUGGAGGACUUGAAUAUCAUCUUUUGGUCUCCUCCAUCACCA
rnacentral:lncRNA from 1 species